CGGGUGAGUAAUGUAUGGGGAUCUGCCUGAUGGCGGGGGAUAACUACUGGAAACGGUAGCUAAUACCGCAUAAUGUCUACGGACCAAAGCGGGGGACCUCCGGGCCUCUUGCCAUCGGAUGUGCCCAGAUGGGAUUAGCUAGUAGGUGGGGUAACGGCUCACCUAGGCGACGAUCCCUAGCUGGUCUGAGAGGAUGACCAGCCACACUGGAACUGAGACACAGCCCAG
rnacentral:rRNA from 1 species